rnacentral:rRNA from 1 species
CCCUUAGAUGUCCUGGGCCGCACGCGCGCUACACUGAUGCAUUCAACGAGUUUUACCUUGGCCGAGAGGCCUGGGCAAUCUUUUAAACCUGCAUCGUGAUAGGGAUAGAUUAUUGCAAUUAUUAAUCUUGAACGAGGAAUUCCUAGUAAACGCAGAUCAUCAAUCUGCAUUGAUUACGUCCCUGCCCUUUGUACACACCGCCCGUCGCACCUACCGAUUGAAUGGUCCGGUGAAGCCUCGGGAUUGUGGCCAGUUCACUUUAUUGGGAGUUGGCUGCGAGAACUUGUCUAAACCUUAUCAUUUAGAGGAAGGUGAAGGCGUAACA